CCCGGUAGCGCACUCGGCACGUAACCGUCGGCGGAAGAACACGGCACAUCAGGUUCCUCUCUUUUAUCGGUGAUUGAACAAGGCAGAAGAUUAUUUAUAAAAGGGGGGCUGGCAUAAAACAUUAUGAUCACGAGGACUUUUUGAGCUGCUUUGUCGAAACUAGAAGUGCCAAAUUAGCGUUCUUCUUGAGGAGGAAAUUUUAAGUAGUUCGUGAGUUUUAGUACCGCGAGUGGAGAGAGAAAAUGUCAUCCAAAGCUAAAAUGCAGUUUGUAAAACGGGCUGUUGGUGUUCAGCAAUAUGUGUAUAGACUUUUCUACGGGGAAAUGUUGGCCCAAGUGUCUCGGUACCCACUGCGUGUCCCUGUGCGGAUUAUGCCAGGGAGACGCAGACCACAGGCAGUGCACCAGGAUCGUUUUAUUCAGCAAGGGGCAGCUCUCUUGGCUGGAUUAGGCUUGUGUAUUUCAUCUUUUUCCCUGAAGAAACUCUCAGCCAUGCCACACAAACCAAGACGCCUGAUCUAGAUAUUGCAUAAGUGAAAUAUUGAAAUUUGUGAUUUGAAAAUGAAAGUGAUUUAGGUCAGUUGCAUAGACUUGCACACUGAUUUUUCAAAUGUAUCAGCUAUAUUUUAUUUCCAGUGAUAGCGGGGUAAAUAUCCAGCAAUAUAUUUUUUUUUUUACUUACUAUUAAAUCUUGAAUAGAAGAACAUACAAAUGUUAUAGGGAGUCUUAAAGAUUAGCUGUGAAAAAAUCCACCAUUAUGUAGGUUGUAUGUUGUCAUUUUACAUUUUUAGACUGAUGCUACAUAAUUUCAAAUCCCUUCAAAACUAUUAUCUUCUAUAGCAUUGGAUUGUAGACUUUUAAAAUUUCAUUAUGCUUCAACUUCAGAGGAAUAGCACUUUUUCUUAUAUUUGGUGAUGCUUGUAGUGGAUUGUGUAUUUUUUACAUACUACUGGUCUAUAAAAUCAUAGCAUUUUGUCCAUUAAAUGGCUAUGAGUGUUUUUAUGGCUAUAGUAAUUAUCACAAAGGUUCACCAAAUGUUUUCUUCAGAUCUAGUAGUAUUUUGUAUGGCUGUAUAAGAAGGUGCUCUUUGAUUGGGAAAAAAUGUGAUAGAAACAAGGAAAUCAAGUCUUUAGUCUUUAUUUAUUUUUCAUUAGACUCCCAAAUUGUGGAUAACCAAAACUUAAUUUCUUUACUCAAAAUGAAAAUAAGAAAAAAGUAGUCUCUUUUUUAUUGAUUAUUUGUAGAUAUUCAUAAUAUUGAUAUUCUGACUGAGAGACAUCAUGUCAUGAUGGCAUAGUAAUGACAUGUUUACAAACUGGCAUAAGCAUCAAUUCUCUUUGUUUUUUAUUUAUUUUGGUAACCUGUAUUAUGCAGUCUAUUACAGUACUGCUGAUGUGAAUGAAAUUAAGGGUUUAUUCAGAUAUGAUUUUUUUUUCUUCUUCUUCUUCUUAAGAGAAAUAUUGGCCAUAAAGUCAUUUCCACAGGAAUUAAAAGCUUAAAGAUACAUUAAAGUUUUUCCUGUGCUUAUAUUGUAGUCAUUAACUAAUGAAAAUAAUUACAGAUAGAUGUCGAGCAUAGACAUAGAUUAUUUGCAUUUAAUCAUCAUUAUACUGUUAAGUUCUAGCUAUUAGACAAAACUCCUAAGUCCUGUACAUUGGUUUACACAGAGGCUUUAGGCGAGAGGAACUGAGGUUAUUUAGGUAUUUUUUAAUUAUUUUAUGCUAUUGAUCUUUAUGUAUUAUAAUGUAGGUAUAAUAUUUUUAUUUGAAUUAUUAUGUGUAUAAUAUUUGUGAGUGCAUUAUAGAUGUGGUAAUAUUUGAUUUUGCAAUAUUAGCUCUAACAGUCAUGCUGUUCACAUAUCACAAAUAUAAAUUUUCACAUGUAUAUACCUUGUAGAUCUCUCAUUCUCUUCAUAAGGUGAAUCUUUGGGAAUUAAGGUUAGAUAGUUUCUAUUUUUAUACACAAACGCUCACACUGUAUCUUGGUUUACCUAUUUUUUUCCCAUGGUUGUGUAACACCAAAAAGGGGAUGUUCUAAUUCUCAAUUAGUAUUACCCUUUGCUAGUCUAUUUCAUGUGGAGUUUACACUGAACCUGAUUCCAAAGUUGCACCCCAUCUCUUCUUUCAAGAAUGAGUGUUAUUCUUGAGGUUUGCAUCAUGUGUCUUCAUUCCCUCAUACAUAUAGAAAACUAUUUGUUAAUAAACAAUGUUAAUGUAA